GGGGACAGCAUGGGGACACCAACACCAUUCCUUGGGGACAGUUGGGGAACAUUCAUUGUCAUUCCUUGGGGACAGUAUGGGGACACCAACACCAUUCCUUGGGGACAGUAUGGGGACACCAACACUGCUCCUUGGGGACAGUAUGGUGACAUUCAGUGUCAUUCCUUGGGGACAGUAUGGGACAUCCAACGCCAUUCCUUGGGGACAGUAUGGGGACACCAACACCGCUCAUUGGGGACAGCAUGGUGACACCCAACAUCAUUCCUUAGGGACAAUACAGUGACAUUCAGUGUCAUUCCUUGGGGACAGUAUGGUGACAUCCAACGCUGUUCCUUGGGGACAAUACGGUGACACCCAAUGCCAUUCCUUGAGGACAUCCAACACUGCUCCUUGGGGACAAUAUGGUGACAUCCAACGCCAUUCCUUGGGGACAAUAUGGUGACAUUCAGUGUCAUUCCUUGGGGACAUUAUGGUGACAUCCAACGCUGUUCCUUGGGGAAAUACGGUGACACCAACACCGCUCCUUGGGGACAGUAUGGUGACACCCAACAUCAUUCCUUAGGGACAAUAUGGUGACACUCAAUGCCACUCCUUGGGGACAGCACGGUGACACCAACACCGUUCCUUGGGGACAAUAUGGUGACAUCCAAUGCCAUUCCUUGGGGACAAUAUGGUGACACCAACACUGCUCCUUGGGGACAGCACGGUGACAUCCAACGCCGUUCCUUGGGGACAAUACGGUGACUCCAACACCGCUCCUUGGGGACAAUACGGUGACAUCCAAUGCCAUUCCUUGGGGACAUCCAACAAUGUUCCUUGGGGACAAUAUGGUGUCACCAACACCAUUCCUUGAGGACAUCCAACACCAUUCCUUGGGGACAUCCAAUGCUGUUCCUUGGGGACAUCCAACAGUGUUUCUUGGGGACAAUACGGUGACAUCCAACACCGUUCCUUGGGGACAUCCAACACCAUUUGUUGGGGACAUUAUGGUGACAUCCAAUGCCGUUCCUUGGGGACAAUACGGUGACACCAACACCAUUCCUUGAGGACAUCCAACAACACCGUUCCUUGGGGACAAUAUGGUGUCACCAACACCAUUCAUUAAAGACAUCCAACGCCGUUCCUUGGGGACAAUACGGUGACAUCCAACGCCGUUCCUUGGGGACAUCCAACACCAUUUGUUGGGGACAACACAGUGACAUCCCACGCCGUUCCUUGAGGACAAUAUGGUGUCACCAACACCAUUCCUUGAGGACAUCCAACGCCGUUCCUUGGAGACAAUACGGUGACAUCCAAUGCUGUUCCUUGAGGACAUCCAACAAUGUUCCUUGGGGACAAUAUGGUGACAUCCAACGCCGUUCCUUGGGGAUAAUAUGGUGACAUCCAAUGCCAUUCUUUGGAGACAAUACGGUGACACCAACACCAUUCCUUGAGGACAUCCAACACCAUUUGUUGGGGACAAUAUGGUGACAUCCAACACUGUUCCUUGGGGACAAUAUGGUGACAUCCAACACCAUUCCUUGAGGACAUCCAACACCUUUCCUUGGGGACAACACGGUGACAUCCAACACUGUUCCUUGGGAACAAUACGGUGUCACCAACACCAUUCAUUGAAGACAUCCAACAACACCGUUCCUUGGGGACAACACGGUGACAUCCAACACCAUUCCUUGGGGACAAUACGGUGACAUCCAACGCUGUUCCUUGGGGACGUCUAACACUGUUCCUUGGGGACAAUAUGGUGACAUCCAACACCAUUUGUUGGGGACAAUAUGGUGACACCAACACCGCUCCUUGGGGACAGCACAGUGACAUCCAACGCUGUUCCUUGGGGACAAUACGGUGACAUUCAGUGUCAUUCCUUGGGGACAGUAUGGUGACAUCCAAUGCUGUUCCUUGGGGACAACACGGUGACAUCCAACACCAUUUGUUGGGGACAAUACGGUGACAUCCAACGCUGUUCCUUGGGGACGUCCAACACCGUUCCUUGGGGACAAUACGGUGACACCAACACCAUUCCUUGAGGACAUCCAACACCAUUUGUUGGGGACAAUACGGUGACAUCCAACACCGUUCCUUGGGGACAAUACGUUGACAUCCAAUGCCAUUCUUUGGGGACAAUACGGUGACAUCCAAUGCCGUUCCUUGGAGACAAUACAGUGACAUCCAAUGCCAUUCUUUGGGGACAAUAUGGUGACAUCCAACGCUGUUCCUUGGGGACAAUACGGUGACACCAACACCAUUCACUGAGGCCAUCCAACGCCGUUCCUUGGAGACAAUACGGUGACAUCCAACGCCAUUCCUUGGGGACAUCCAACAAUGUUCCAUUGUGGACAAUACAGUGACAUCCAAUGCCAUUCUUUGGAGACAAUACGGUGGCAUCCAACGCCAUUCCUUGAGGACAUCCAACACCAUUUGUUGGGGACAACACGUUGACAUCCAACACCGUUCCUUGGGGACAACAAAGGACGACAGCCACCACACCUCCUCGCAGACAGCGCGGUGCCACCCACCGCCACCGCCCCCCCUCGGGCGGGGCGUCCCCACCUCCCCCUUCCCCGGGGGGGGCGCGGGGCGUCGCCGUCCCUCAGGUGGGGGUGAGGGGGAUCCCGAACAGCUCCCGCUGCCCCCCGCUGUCCCCCCGGUGUAGGCGGGCGGCCUCGGAGGAGCCCUCGGCGUCGCGCACGUUGUACUCUCCCUUCUUACAGGCGGUGCUCUUCAUGUAAUAAACGCCCCACGCGGCCGCCGCCAGCGCGGUGACGGAGCCCAGCAGGGACAGCGACAGCAGUAGGGACAGACGGCUC
ensembl:lncRNA